rnacentral:rRNA from 1 species
GAUCCAGCAACGCCGCGUGAGGGAUGACGGCCUUCGGGUUGUAAACCUCUUUAGUACCGACGAAGCGCGAGUGACGGUAGGUACAGAAGAAGCACCGGCCAACUACGUGCCAGCAGCGGCGGUAAUACGUAGGGUGCGAGCUUGUCCGGAAUUAUUGGGCGUAAAGGGCUCGUAGGCGGUUUGUCGCGUCGGGGGUGAAAACUCGGGGCUUAACUCCGAGCCUGCUUUCGAUACGGGCAGACUAGAGGUAUGCAGGGGAAAACGGAAUUCCUGGUGUAGCGGUGAAAUGCGCAGAUAUUAGGGGGGA